CCCCUCCCCCAAUCCUACUCCAACUAGGAAAGGGGGGGGAGUCCUACUCCCGGUGGGAGUAGGACUCCUCCGGCGCGCCCCCUCUAGGCCGGCCGCACCUCCCCCCUCCCUCCUUUAUAUACGGGGGCAGGGGGGCACCCUAGGACACACAAGUUUGAUCUACGGAUCGUUCCUUAGCCGUGUGCGGUGCCCCCCUCCACCAUAUUCCACCUCGUUCAUACCGUCGCGAAGCUUAGGCGAAGCCCUGCGCCGGUGAAACAUCAAGAUCGUCAUCACGCCGUCGUGCUGACGGAACUCUCCCUCGACACUCAGCUGGAUCGGAGUACGAGGGACGUCAUCGAGCUGUACGUGUGUCAAGAACUCGGGGGCGCCGGAGUAACGGCGUCGGGAUCGGCCGGAUCGCGAGGAGAACGUACGACUACUUCCUCUACGUUGUGAUCGCUUCCGCUUCGGGUCUACGAGGGUACGUAGACAACACUCUCCCCUCUCGUUGCUAUGCAUCACCAUGAUCUUGCGUGUGCGUAGGAAAUUUUUUGAAAUUACUACGUUCCCCAACAGUGGCAUCCGAGCCUAGGUUUUUAUGGUUUGAUGUUUUGCACGAGUAGAACACAAGUGAGUUGUGGGCGAUACAAUUCAUACUACCUACCAGCAUGUCAUACUUUGGUUCAGCGGUAUUGUGAGAUGAAGCGGCCUAGACCGACAUUACGCGUACGCUUACGCGAGACUGGUUUCACCGCUACGAGCACUCGUUGCUUAAAGGUGACUGGCGGGUGCCUGUCUCUCUCACUUUAGUUGAACCGAGUGUGGCUACGCCUGGUCCUUGAGAAGGUUAAAACGGAGUCUAUUUGACGAAGUAUCGUUGUGGUUUUGAUGCGUAGGUGAGACUGGUUCUUGCUUAAGCCCGUAGCAGCCACGUAAAAUUUGCAACAACAAAGUAGAGGACGUCUAACUUGUUUUUGCAGGGCAUGUUGUGAUGUGAUAUGGUCAAGACGUGAUGCUAUAUUUUAUUGUAUGAGAUGAUCAUGUUUUGUAACCAAAGUUAUCGGCAACUGGCUGGAGCCAUAUGGUUGUCGCUUUAUUGUAUGCAAUGCUUUACUUUAUCACUAAGCGGUAGAGAUAGUCGUAGAAGCAUAAGAUUGGCGAGACAACAACGAUGCUACGAUGGAGAUCAAGGUGUCGCGCCGGUGACGAUGGUGAUCAUGGUGGUGCUGCGGAGAUGAAGAUCACGAAGCACAAGAUGAUGAUGACCAUAUCAUAUCACUUAUAUUGAUUUGCAUGUGAUGUUUAUCCUUUAUGCAUCUUAUCUUGCUUUGAUUGACGGUAGCAUUAUAAGAUGAUCUCUCACUAAAUUAUCAAGAAGUGUUCUCCCCGAGUAUGCACCGUUGCCAAAGUUCGUCGUGCCCAGACACCACGUGAUGAUCGGGUGUGAUAAGCUCUACGUCCAUCUACAACGGGUGCAAGCCAGUUUUGCACACGCAGAAUACUCGGGUUAUACUUGACGAGCCUAGCAUAUGCAGAUAUGGCCUCGGAACACGGAGACCGAAAGGUCGAGCGUGAAUCAUAUAGUAGAUAUGAUCAACAUAAGAUGUUCACCAUUGAAAACUACUCCAUUUCACGUGAUGAUCGGUUAUGGUUUAGUUGAUUUGGAUCACGUGAUCACUUAGAUGACUAGAGAGAUGUUUUUCUAAGUGGGAGUUCUUAAGUAAUAUGAUUAAUUGAACUUAAAUUUAUCAUGAACUUAGUACCUGAUAGUAUCUUGCUUGUUUAUGUUUGAUUGUAGAUAGAUGGCUCGUGCUGUUGUUCCGUUGAAUUUUAAUGCGUUCCUUGAGAAAGCAAAGUUGAAAGAUGAUGGUAGCAAUUACACGGACUGGGUCCGUAACCUGAGGAUUAUCCUCAUUGCUGCACAGAAGAGUUACGUCCUGGAUGCACCGCUGGGUGCCAGGCCUGCUGCUGAUGCAACUGACGACGUUAAGAACGUCUGGCAGAGCAAAGCUGAUGACUACUCUAUAGUUCAGUGUGCCAUGCUUUACGGCUUAGAACCGGGACUUCAACGACGUUUUGAACGUCAUGGAGCAUAUGAGAUGUUCCAGGAGUUGAAGUUGAUAUUCCAACAGAAUGCCCGGAUUGAGAGAUAUGAAGUCUCCAAUAAGUUCUAUAGCUGCAAGAUGGAGGAGAAUAGUUCUGUUAGUGAGCACAUACUCAGAAUGUCUGGGUACUACAAUCACUUGACACAAUUGGGAGUUAAUCUUCCGGAUGAUUGUGUCAUUGACAGAAUUCUUCAAUCACUGCCACCAAGCUACAAAGGCUUCGUGAUGAACUAUAAUAUGCAAGGGUUAGUAAAGACUAUACCUGAGCUCUUCGCAAUGCUAAAGACUGCGGAGGUAGAAAUCAAGAAGGAGCAUCAAGUGUUGAUGGUCAAUAAGACCACUAGUUUCAAGAAGAAAGGCAAAGGGAAGAAGAAGGGGAACUUCAAGAAGAACAGCAAGCAAGUUGCUGCUCAGGAGAAGAAACCCAAGUCUGGACCUAAGCCUGAAACUGAGUGCUUCUACUGCAAGCAGACUGGUCACUGGAAGCGGAACUGCCCCAAGUAUUUGGCGGAUAAGAAGGAUGGCAAGGUGAACAAAGGUAUAUGUGAUAUACAUGUUAUUGAUGUGUACCUUACUAGAGCUCGCAGUAGCACCUGGGUAUUUGAUACUGGUUCUGUUGCUAAUAUUUGCAACUCGAAACAGGGACUACGGAUUAAGCGAACACUGGCAAAGGACGAGGUGACGAUGCGCGUGGGAAAUGGUUCCAAAGUCGAUGUGAUCGCGGUCGGCACGCUACCUCUACAUCUACCUUCGGGAUUAGUUUUAGACCUAAAUAAUUGUUAUUUGGUGCCUGCGUUGAGCAUGAACAUUAUAUCUGGAUCUUGUUUGAUGCGAGACGGUUAUUCAUUUAAAUCAGAGAAUAAUGGUUGUUCUAUUUAUAUGAGUAAUAUCUUUUAUGGUCAUGCACCCUUGAGGAAUGGUCUAUUUUUGAUGAAUCUCGAUAGUAGUGAUACACAUAUUCAUAAUGUUGAAACCAAAAGAUGCAGAGUUGAUAAUGAUAGUGCAACUUAUUUGUGGCACUGCCGUUUAGGUCAUAUCGGUGUAAAGCGCAUGAAGAAACUCCAUACUGAUGGACUUUUGGAGUCACUUGAUUAUGAAUCACUUGGCACUUGCGAACCGUGCCUUAUGGGCAAGAUGACCAGAACCCCGUUCUCCGGUACUAUGGAGAGAGCAACAGAUUUGUUGGAAAUCAUACAUACAGAUGUAUGUGGACCGAUGAAUGUAGAGGCUCGUGGCGGAUAUCGUUAUUUUCUCACCUUCACGGAUGACUUAAGCAGAUAUGGGUAUAUCUACUUAAUGAAACAUAAGUCUGAAACAUUUGAAAAGUUCAAAGAAUUUCAGAGUGAAGUUGAAAAUCAUCGUAACAAGAAAAUUAAAUUUCUACGAUCUGAUCGUGGAGGUGAAUAUUUGAGUUACGAGUUUGGUCUACAUUUGAAACAAUGCGGAAUAGUUUCGCAACUCACGCCACCCGGAACACCACAGCGUAAUGGUGUGUCCGAACGUCGUAAUCGCACUUUACUAGAUAUGGUGCGAUCUAUGAUGUCUCUUAUAGAUUUACCGCUAUCGUUUUGGGGUUAUGCUCUAGAGACGGCCGCAUUCACACUGAAUAGAACACCGUCGAAAUCCGUUGAGACGACACCUUAUGAACUGUGGUUUAGCAAGAAACCAAAGUUGUCGUUUCUUAAAGUUUGGGGAUGCGAUGCUUAUGUGAAAAAGCUUCAACCUGAUAAGCUCGAACCCAAAUCGGAGAAAUGUGUCUUCAUAGGAUACCCAAAGGAGACAGUUGGGUACACCUUCUAUCACAGAUCCGAAGGCAAGACAUUCGUUGCUAAGAAUGGAUCCUUUUUAGAGAAGGAGUUUCUCUCGAAAGAAGUGAGUGGGAGGAAAGUGGAACUUGAUGAGGUAAUAGUACCUUCUCCCUUACUUGAAAGUAGUUCGUCGCAGAAACCGGUUUCUGAGACAUCUACACCAAGUAGUGAGGAAGUUGAUGAUGUUGAUCAUGAAACUUCAGAUCAAGUUACUGCAGAACCUCGUAGAUCAACCAGAGUAAGAUCCGCACCAGAGUGGUACGGUAAUCCUGUUCUGGAAGUCAUGCUACUAGAUCAUGAUGAACCUACGAACUAUGAAGAAGCGAUGGUGAGCCCAGAUUCCGCAAAAUGGCUUGAGGCCAUGAAAUCUGAGAUGGGAUCCAUGUAUGAAAACAAAGUAUGGACUUUGGUUGACUUGCCCGAGGGUAGGCAAGCAAUAGAAAACAAGUGGAUCUUCAAGAAGAAGACUGACGCUGACGGUAAUGUUACUGUCUAUAAAGCUCGACUUGUCGCAAAAGGUUUUCGGCAAGUUCAAGGGAUUGACUACGAUGAGACCUUCUCACCCGUAGCGAUGCUUAAGUCCGUCCGAAUCAUGUUAGCAAUUGCCGCAUUUUAUGAUUAUGAAAUUUGGCAAAUGGAUGUAAAGACUGCAUUCCUGAAUGGAUUUCUGGAAGAAGAGUUGUAUAUGAUGCAACCAGAAGGUUUUAUCGAUCCAAAGGGAGCUAACAAAGUGUGCAAGCUCCAGCGAUCCAUCUAUGGACUGGUGCAAGCAUCUCGGAGUUGGAAUAAACGCUUUGAUAGUGUGAUCAAAGCAUUUGGGUUUGUACAGACUUUUGGAGAAGCCUGUAUUUACAAGAAAGUGAGUGGGAGCUCUGUAGCAUUUCUGAUAUUAUAUGUAGAUGACAUAUUACUGAUCGGAAAUGAUAUAGAAUUUCUGGAUAGCAUAAAGGGAUACUUGAAUAAGAGUUUUUCAAUGAAAGACCUCGGUGAGGCUGCUUACAUAUUGGGCAUUAAGAUCUAUAGAGAUAGAUCAAGACGCUUAAUUGGACUUUCACAAAGCACAUACCUUGACAAAAUUUUGAAGAAGUUCAAGAUGGAUCAAGCAAAGAAAGGGUUCUUGCCUGUGUUACAAGGUGUGAAGUUGAGUAAGACUCAAUGCCCGACCAUUGCAGAAGAUAGAGAGAAAAUGAAAGAUGUUCCCUAUGCUUCAGCCAUAGGCUCUAUCAUGUAUGCAAUGCUGUGUACCAGACCUGAUGUGUGCCUUGCUAUAAGUUUAGCAGGGAGGUACCAAAGUAAUCCAGGAGUGGAUCACUGGACAGCGGUCAAGAACAUCCUGAAGUACCUGAAAAGGACUAAGGAUAUGUUUCUCGUAUAUGGAGGUGACAAAGAGCUCAUCGUAAACGGUUACGUUGAUGCAAGCUUUGACACUGAUCCGGACGAUUCUAAAUCGCAGACCGGAUACGUAUUUACACUAAACGGAGGAGCUGUCAGUUGGUGCAGUUCUAAACAAAGCGUCGUAGCGGGAUCUACAUGUGAAGCGGAGUACAUAGCAGCUUCGGAAGCAGCUAAUGAAGGAGUCUGGAUGAAGGAGUUCAUAUCCGAUCUAGGUGUCAUACCUAGUGCAUCGGGUCCAAUGAAAAUCUUCUGUGACAAUACUGGAGCAAUUGCCUUAGCGAAGGAAUCCAGAUUUCACAAGAGGACCAAGCACAUCAAGAGACGCUUCAAUUCCAUCCGGGACUUAGUCCAGGUGGGAGACAUAGAGAUUUGCAAGAUACAUACGGAUCUGAAUGUUGCAGACCCGUUGACUAAGCCUCUUCCACGAGCAAAACAUGAUCAGCACCAAGACCCCAUGGGUGUUAGAAUCAUUACUAUGUAAUCUAGAUUAUUGACUCUAGUGCAAGUGGGAGACUGAAGGAAAUAUGCCCUAGAGGCAAUAAUAAAGUUAUUAUUUAUUUCCUUAUUUCAUGAUAAAUGUUUAUCAUUCAUGCUAUAAUUGUAUUAACCGGAAACAUGAUACAUGUGUGAAUGUAUAGACAAAACAAUAUGUCACUAGUAUGCCUCUACUAGACUAGCUUGUUAAUCAAAGAUGGUUAUGUUUCCUGACCAUGAACAAAGAGUUGUUAUUUGAUUAACGAGGUCACAUCAUUAGUAGAAUGAUCUGAUUGACAUGACCCAUUCCAUUAGCUUAGCACACGAUCGUUUAGUAUGUUGCUACUGCUUUUAUCCAUGACAUAUACAUGUUCCUGUAACUAUGAGAUUAUGCAACUCCCGUUUACCGGAGGAACACUUUGGGUGCUACCAAACGUCACAACGUAACUGGGUGAUUAUAAAGGAGUACUACAGGUGUCUCCAAAGGCAGAUGUUGGGUUGGCGUAUUUCGAGAUUAGGUUUUGUCACUCCGAUUGUCGGAGAGGUAUCUCUGGGCCCUCUCGGUAGUGCACAUCACUGAAGCCUUGCAAGCAUUACAACUAAUGAGAUAGUUGUGAGAUGAUGUAUUACGGAACGAGUAAAGAGACUUGCCGGUAACGAGAUUGAACUAGGUAUUGGAUACCGACGAUCGAAUCUCGGGCAAGUAACAUACCGAUGACAAAGGGAACAAUGUAUGUUGUUAUGCGGUCUGACCGAUAAAGAUCUUCGUAGAAUGUGUAGGAACCAAUAUGGGCAUCCAGGUCCCGCUGUUGGUUAUUGACCGAGAAUAGUUCUAGGUCAUGUCUACAUUGUUCUCGAACCGUAGGGUCCGCACGCUUAAGGUUUCGAUGACAGUUAUUAUGAGUUUAUGUAUUUUGAUGUACCGAAGAAGUUCGGAGUCCCGGAUGUGAUCACGGACAUGACGAGGAGUCUCGAAAUGGUCGAGACAUAAAGAUUGAUAUAUUGGAAGCCUAUAUUUGGAGUUCGGAAUGGUUCCGGGUGAAAACAGGAAUUUACCGGAGUACCGGGAGGUUACCGGAACCCCCCGGGUACUACAUGGGCCUUAGUGGGCCUCGAGGGAGAAGAGGAGGGGCCGGCUAGGGGUGGCCACGCGCCCCCUCCCCCCCCAGUCCGAAUNNNNNNNNNNGGGGGGGGGGGCGGCGCCCCCCUUUCCUCUUCCCCCUCCCCCAAUCCUACUCCAACUAGGAAAGGGGGGGAGUCCUACUCCCGGUGGGAGUAGGACUCCUUCGGCGCGCCCCCUCUAGGCCGGCCGCACCUCCCCCCUCCCUCCUUUAUAUACGGGGGCAGGGGGGCACCCUAGGACACACAAGUUUGAUCUACGGAUCGUUCCUUAGCCGUGUGCGGUGCCCCCCUCCACCAUAUUCCACCUCGGUCAUACCGUCGCGAAGCUUAGGCGAAGCCCUGCGCCGGUGAAACAUCAAGAUCGUCACCACGCCGUCGUGCUGACGGAACUCUCCCUCGACACUCGGCUGGAUCGGAGUACGAGGGACGUCAUCGAGCUGUACGUGUGUCAAGAACUCGGGGGCGCCGGAGUAACGGCGUCGGGAUCGGCCGGAUCGCGAGGAGAACGUACGACUACUUCCUCUACGUUGUGAUCGCUUCCGCUUCGGGUCUACGAGGGUACGUAGACAACACUCUCCCCUCUCGUUGCUAUGCAUCACCAUGAUCUUGCGUGUGCGUAGGAAAAUUUUUGAAAUUACUACGUUCCCCAACAUU
rnacentral:lncRNA from 1 species